AAUAGGAGUAUUCCCUAAUCUUAACCAAAUUCAAAGAGUAAUAGAUUAAAAGAUUAUACUGCCGAAGUGUAAAAUCAUGUGUAGUAACAUAACUGACCUGAACAUGAAAUAAACUCAAUGAAUAAACAAGGGUACCAAUUUAAGUUUCAAAGCGAAGACUAAUAAAUUACUAGAUCAAAGCACAAAUGCUAUUAAGAACUGGUGAAUAGCGAGGACUAAUAAAUUACCUGUCUUAUUUAGUUUAUGCCUGCCUUUUUUGCAAAUCUGUGUAUCACGUUAUCUGUAAUACCAUUGACCUAUUGAGCUUUGAGAAAAGUAAUGUUUCUGGGGAAAUGACAGAUUUGGAAGUACAGGUAAAAUUAGUUGCAAAUGCUGUAGAAUACACAAUUCAACUGAGAUUAACAGAAACUGUAAUGGUAACAACUAAAAGCCAUAAAAAAAAAAGGCACAUUGGAGGUUGCGUCGCAGCCUGCAACAAGUAGCAGAGGACAUUGAUCGUGUCUGGAAAGAUUCAAGAUAAAGGUAAACAAGCAUCAACGGGAUCUUUGGUUAAAGAUUCUUCAAGUUCAGCAAAGAUGUUCUGAAUGUUAAGAACGAUAUGGUUGGACGUGAUGCACAAAGGGAAAGGUUGUUAGAAGAUCUAACUAGAGGCUAGUCUGGCGAACCCAAAGUCAUCUCGAUUGUCGGGAUGGGAGCCAUAGGUAAGAGCUAAGACAACCUUAGCAAAAUAAGUUAAUAAUGAUGCACACAUUCAUUCUCAUUUUGAUUUUCGUUCCUGGGCUAGUGUAUUUCAACAACACAAUGUAAAGGAAAUCUUGCUAAGCCUUCUACGUUCUACGAUCAAAAUGGAUGAAAUAUGAGGCGGAGCUAGCAGACAUGCUGCAGAAAUGUUUAAAGGGCAAGAGGUACUUAAUUCUCAUGGAUGACAUAAGAAUUAGUAAAGCGUGGGAUGACGUGAGACAAUGCUUCCUAGUCAAAACAACGGCAGUUGAAUAUUGUUGAAUACCCAUAAUAAUGAAGUGGCUUGUUAUGUUGGUACAAAGAAUCUUUCUUUAAAUGUGAAAAGGUGUGAUCUAUUUUCAUGGGAUGCAUCCAUUCUUUGAAAAGGUGUUGUUGUUCAUUUUUAACUCAUUAUAAAUGUUAUUCCUUC